ensembl:antisense
UUUUUUUUNNNNNNNNNNNNNNNNNNNNNNNNGCUGUCCUGGAACUCACUUUGUAGACCAGGCUGGCCUUGAACUCAGAAAUCCACCUGCCUCUGCCUCCCAAGUGCUGGUAUUAAAGGCGUGCGCCACCACUGCCCGGCUCAAACAGAACUUCUAAAGUGGGUCCCACUAACUCUUGCUUCCAUGAGGGGUCGGUGGGGAGCAGGUUAAGCUCUAGAUGCACAGGGAAUAAUGUCACUGCAUCGGGAGCCUCCCGGGAGUCCCUUCACACUUAGAAUCAAGUCCAAAGUCCUCUGCAUGACCGGAGCCCCCCUAGAUGGCUUCUCUCUCUCCUUCUCAUGGCCUUUCCUGUCCCAGUCACAGUUUCUCAAACUUGCUAAGCAUAUUUCCAUCGUGGGACCAUCGUGGGGCUGGCUCGGGCUUUUAAAAACCCAAAGGGCACCCAAUCCUUCCCAAAAUAUUUCUACCAACUAGGGACCACAUAUUCAAAUAUAUAAGCCUAUGGGGGGCCUUUCUCAUUGAAACCACCACAAGAAUCAGAGAGUGUACUUUAGUUAGGGAUUUCAUGUGGCUUCCUGAUCAAUCUCCAGUGCCCAAAAUACACCGGACACAGGAGUGGCAUCUAAAAAGUUGACUGGUGGCUUUAGGAGGCGGCAGCCGGAAGUAGGGUAAAGGUGGGAGUGACAAGUGCUUCUGGGUGAAAGAAGAGACACAGAGCUUAAAUAAGCAAAUGUGAAAUAAUGUAAACGGUAAACACUUCCCAGGCUGCCACCCUCAGAAAAGCACCAAGCCCAUGAAGGUUUACAGGUGUUUCUAACAAACCUCUGAAAACCUUGUGGGAGGGCCGGGGAGGAUGUUCUAUUAGGAGGAGAAUAAGAACGGGCACACCUCAUGAACAAGAUGCCUUUCAAGCAAACCUCAAAGGAGGACAGGCAUGAAGCACAGCAGUAAGAACUUGGGGUCUCCCAGGGAACCAUAUGCAGUGUCACUUCUGUGACAAUGGUGCCUACUCUAGAAAUAUCUUUCUCCAUCUGGCCUCUGUGUCUUCUCUGUUCAUCUCCAUCGCCCAACAUUCUCCAUCGGCCUGGUCACUGAAUUGCAAAAUGAGUAUCCCACAAACGUCAGCCACUGUUGGACGGUGUCUAUAUGUCUAUUUCUGGCUAAAAAAGCAAGCCAGGAAUUGCAUUUCCCUCAUACUGGAAUCUUUGAUGCCUGAAAACACUCAAAGGCUCAAGGCAGCCGACUGUUAAGAGCUGGCGCUGCGGAUGCACAAGCAAUGGUCUGUGAUGCCUGUUCGCAGCCAUCCUUAAACAUGUACAAUGGGCUCAGGUGGCAGGGCCUCGGGGAAGCUUUCUCGGGCUCCUUCUUUCUCAGGCAAGAAGAAGGUGAGCAAAAGAAGUCACGCUUCCUCUCCAGUGAGGCUGAGGGGCACCUGAAAGGGCACAUCUGUCUAUGUACUCUCUGUGAAGUUCAGUGUGAGGUGGUGGGGUCUGGACAACAUAGUAAGAAACAAGGAAGCAAAGCUGGCAUCUCCAGCAGCCUAGAAACUGAGCUGAGGGAGAAGAACGAAGGGUGGAAGAGUGCAGACUCUCCCUUCCACACCCACAAGGGCCCAGACAGCCCUGCUUCACCCCCAACUACAGCCGUUCAUCAAACAAUGCUGAGAAACCCGUCGUCAUGGCUCUAGGGCUGGGCUGUGCCCUCCAUCUCCUCAUCAGCACUCAGACUCAGGUCAACCGCUGCCAGGUCCAUGAGGCUGGGGAAUAGCUGAGACCGUCCAGGCCAUGGAUACAGCACAGCAUGGGUCCUAAUGGGACCCCUGCUGUGGACAUGGAGACCUGCAGGUUCAUAUCAGAGCUGCUGAGAGGCACCUCUGAAGUCAGCAGAUAAAACCGUUCUGCAGCAUAAACAGAUCCUCUGGUCAGGAGAAAGGGAGCUGGGAGGUCUGCAGUCCUGGACACGUACCUACAGCUGUGUAAAACAGCACAUGCGUGGGUGAGCGCGCUCACGCGCACGCGUGUGUACACACACACACACACAAAUAACCAUAUUCAGUCAAUAACCAUUCACUACCUCACACUGUUUCUGCUGAUUAAGAAAACUAGAGUGGGGCUGGCAAGAUGGCUCAGUGGGUAACAGCACUGACUGCUCUACCAAAGGUCGUGAGUUCAAAUCCCAGCAAUCACAUGGUGGCUCACAACCAUCUGUAAUGGAAUCUGAAGCCCUCUUCUAGUGUGUCUGAAGUCAGCUACAGUGUACUUAUGUAUAAUAAUAAACCUUUGGGCCGGAGUGAGCAGGGACUAAGCGAGUAGAGUUGACUGGAGCGAGCGGGGCCAACUGGAGCGAGCAGGGGUCCUAAAAAUUCAAUUCCCAACAAUCAUAUGAAGGCUAACAACCAUCUGUACAGCUACAGUGUACUCACACACAUAAAAUAAAUAAAUAUUUAAAAGAAAGAAA